rnacentral:snRNA from 1 species
GUGCUCGCCCUGGCAGUACAUAUACUAAAAUUUGAAUGAUACAGAGAAGAUAAGAACGGCUCCUGCACAGGGAUGACAUGCAAAUUUGUUAAGUGUUCCAUAUUUUU